rnacentral:rRNA from 1 species
UACGUAGGGACCGAGCGUUGUCCGGAUUCAUUGGGCGUAAAGAGCUCGUAGGCGGUCUGUCGCGUCUGCUGUGAAAUCCCGAGGCUCAACCUCGGGCUUGCAGUGGGUACGGGCAGGCUAGAGUGCGGUAGGGGAGAAUGGAACUCCUGGUGUAGCGGUGGAAUGCGCAGAUAUCAGGAAGAACACCGAUGGCGAAGGCAGUUCUCUGGGCCGUAACUGACGCUGAGGAGCGAAAGCGUGGGGAGCAAACAGG